UCAGAGGGACCAAGAGGAGAUGAGGCGAUCAAUCUUAGCCCCCUGACAGCUCCCUCCGAUUGCAUCAAAGAAUUUGGCUCUUUGGGAAAGCAGAGGGAACAGCCUAAAUUCCACAUCCCUUAAAAAGGCCUGAGGGAGGGGGUAGCCAAAGAGAAAGGUGAUUCUGGGAGAUCUAGGAAACAGAUGGGAAAUGGGGACAGAGGGAAAGCGCUAACUUGGGUGGAAAGUUUGCCCCGGAGAACUCCCACGGCUCUGGCCUCCCCUCCCCUCCCCCCCUCUUCGCUCUCUGUCGCCUAGCCUAGAGGAGAAGGCUGGUUAGCAGAGAAAUGGCAACUCAGCGGAGAGCUGGAACUAGAAACUUUCUGUCAAUGUAACGUCCGCGUGGGUGGUGACCCAAUGAUGGUGGGGCUUCGGGUCACGUGACAGCCUCAUUGUAGCUCCGGAAGAGAACCUGAAGUUUAGAUUGCCUGGAAGAAGCAGUAAUAAGCUAGAUUUGAGGAAACUGAAAAGGAGAACAAAAAAAAAAAAAUCAAGAUUUGGGGGAAAUUAGCCACAGAGAUGCAAGGAAAAAAGAAAAAAGAAAAAUCUGUGCAGCUGCUGGAAUCUCUUUUCUACCAAGAUAGGGGGAAUUAUUUAGGAUGAUAAAGACUCACAAAACAAUUUGAACAGUAUUCUUCUCUGGAUUCAAAGGGGAGGCUGUUUACUGAGGUUUCCAACAACAACAACAAAAAAAUACAUAAAAUAAAAUUAUGUUCACUAUUUUAACACAGCCUUUUUAAAGUGCACCAGAAAAAAAAAUAAAGCUGGACCGUGUGUGUGGGGGGGUGUAUUUGUUCCGAAA